AUUGAACGCUGGCGGCAUGCUUUACACAUGCAAGUCGAACGGUAACAGGCCGCAAGGUGCUGACGAGUGGCGAACGGGUGAGUAAUGCAUCGGAACGUGCCCAGUCGUGGGGGAUAACUACUCGAAAGAGUAGCUAAUACCGCAUACGAUCUAUGGAUGAAAGCGGGGGACUGUAAGGCCUCGCGCGAUUGGAGCGGCCGAUGUCAGAUUAGGUAGUUGGUGGGGUAAAGGCUCACCAAGCCAACGAUCUGUAGCUGGUCUGAGAGGACGACCAGCCACACUGGGACUGAGACACGGCCCAGACUCCUACGGGAGGCAGCAGUGGGGAAUUUUGGACAAUGGGCGCAAGCCUGAUCCAGCAAUGCCGCGUGCAGGAAGAAGGCCUUCGGGUUGUAAACUGCUUUUGUACGGAACGAAACGGCUCUGGUUAAUACCCGGGGCUAAUGACGGUACCGUAAGAAUAAGCACCGGCUAACUACGUG
rnacentral:rRNA from 1 species